GAGCAAACAGGAUUAGAUACCUGGUAGUCACGCCGUAAACGAUGAGUGCUAAGUGUUAAGGGGUUUCCCCCCUUAGUGCUGCAGCUAACGCAUUAAGCACUCCGCUGGGGAGUACGACCGCAAGGUUGAAACUCAAAGGAAUUGACGGGGGCCCGCACAAGCGGUGGAGCAUGUGGUUUAAUUCGAAGCAACGCGAAGAACCUUACCAGGUCUUGACAUCCUUUGACAACUCUAGAGAUAGAGCUUUCCCUUCGGGGACAAAGUGACAGGUGGUGCAUGGUUGUCGUCAGCUCGUGUCGUGAGAUGUUGGGUUAAGUCCCGCAACGAGCGCAACCCUUAUUGUUAGUUGCCAUCAUUCAGUUGGGCACUCUAGCGAAACUGCCGGUGACAAACCGGAGGAAGGUGGGGAUGACGUCAAAUCAUCAUGCCCCUUAUGACCUGGGCUACACACGUGCUACAAUGGACAGUACAAUGAGCAGCGACACGGCGACGUGAAGCGAAUCUCAUAAAGCUGUUCUCAGUUCGGAUUGUAGGCUGCAACUCGCCUACAUGAAGCCGGAAUCGCUAGUAAUCGCGGAUCAGCACGCCGCGGUGAAUACGUUCCCGGGCCUUGUACACACCGCCCGUCACACCACGAAAGUUUGUAACACCCAAAGUCGGUGAGGUAACCUUCGGGAGCCAGCCGCCUAAGGUGGGAUAGAUGAUUGGGGUGAAGUCGUAACAAGGUAACCA
rnacentral:rRNA from 1 species